GUAGAGCUCAGUGGUAGAGCGAGCGCCUAGGAUGCACAGGGUCCUGGGUUCAAUCCCCAGUAC
rnacentral:tRNA from 1 species